UCUUAAAAAUAUAUGUCCAACGAAUAUUGAAAUAGUAUGUCGCAAUAGCGAAAGCAGUAGCGUUGUGAGUGGACCCACAGAAUCAGUACAAGAAUUUAUUCAAAAAUUACAGGUUAAUAAUAUUUAUGUGAAAGAGAUCUACUGUAACAUGCCAUAUCACAGUUCUUACCUCAUAGCCAUGAAAUCUCAGCUCUUGUCCAAUUUGAACAAAAUAAUACCACAUCCGAAAAAA